GUUGACCGAUCCAAGGUCAUGCACAUAGGGUCUAAGACGGAAGAGAACUUCCUGCCCCUCUUGGAGCUUCUAUUUUAGAGGGAGACACGGCCAGACAGGUCUCGAACUCCUGGCCUCAAGUGACCCGCACACCUUGGCCUCCCCAAAUGCUGGGAUUCCAGGCGUGAGCCACCGCGCCUGGCCUGGAGCCAGGGCCCAAUAUUAUCUACCACUGUCCAUCUGUUCUCCAGCACAUCAGAGCAGCCCUUCCCCUGUGUGAGAUUCCUCUCUAGGGCAAGACUGAAGGGAGCAUCAAGGUUGCAAUGGAAGAAAUAAAUUGGAAGUGGAGCUGC
rnacentral:antisense_RNA from 1 species